rnacentral:lncRNA from 1 species
GGGUCUUUGAGGUCCCGGGAUGGCAGCGAAAUCCGCGCCACACACCCGCAGCCCUGGGUGGCGCGCGGAAGAGCGGAGGGUCGCAUUUCGAGAAAAAAGAAGAGAAGAGAAAUUAGGAAUGGCUUCUACACACACUUGAUUUUCCCUGGAAAUUGGUGGAGAAAAAUAAUUCCAGGAAGAGCAAAUUUUAUGGACUGAAAUAUUUUGAGGUAUGAAAUAUAGGCUAACCUUUGGGAAGUGAGAUAAUACCUAUCAUUCUUCGAAGUGUGCCAAGAGUUAUGUCUCAUAUGGGACCUAAUUUAGUUCUCAUAACAUCACUCUGAGAAGUUAGCCCUACAUUAUCUAGAACCUUAGACCACACAGCUAGUUAUGCAUGCCAACUGUGAAAUUUUCAUUCCAGAUCUCCCAAUAUAAAGAAGCUCCUACAGGGGCAAGAAAUUAAAAGGAGGAAUGAGAUUAAAGAAUCAGUCAAAAG